GACGAACGCUGGCGGCGUGCUUAACACAUGCAAGUCGAACGGAAAGGCCCUGCUUUUGUGGGGUGCUCGAGUGGCGAACGGGUGAGUAACACGUGAGUAACCUGCCCUUGACUUUGGGAUAACUUCAGGAAACUGGGGCUAAUACCGGAUAGGAGCUCCUGCUGCAUGGUGGGGGUUGGAAAGUUUCGGCGGUUGGGGAUGGACUCGCGGCUUAUCAGCUUGUUGGUGGGGUAGUGGCUUACCAAGGCUUUGACGGGUAGCCGGCCUGGGAGGGUGACCGGCCACAUUGGGACUGAGAUACGGCACAGACUCCUCCGGGAGGCAGCAGUGGGGAAUAUUGCACAAUGGGCGGAAGCCUGAUGCAGCAACGCCGCGUGCGGGAUGACGGCCUUCGGGUUGUAAACCGCUUUCGCCUGUGACGAAGCGUGAGUGACGGUAAUGGGUAAAGAAGCACCGGCUAACUACGUG
rnacentral:rRNA from 1 species